AAGCACGAUUAAAAAGAAUGACUAAUUCAAUAUGGGCUAAUAUGUCUUUUUGUGCAUUUUAGUCAUUGAUUGAUGCUUGGGUUUUGGGCCUGCACAAGUCCAAAGCACAAUUAAAAAGGAGGCCCAUUCAAUGUACAUGGUAUUUAUAAGAGUAUUGUAAAAAGCAAAGUUACAGGCUUACAACUGUAACCCACCACAGUAAUGCUUUACAGCUGUGUCCCAUCCCUUAUCUUUUCAGAUCCAAAUAAACAGGUGUUAAGUUAUUAACAAUUGCGUGAAACCACGCUCAAGAUGGCACAAAAAAUUGAACAAAAGCCAGCGCGUGCUAGUUCACAAACAACAAGUGUCUUCAACCUCCAGACCACCGAUCCGAACCAGAACGCCAUUGUUGAAAUAGAAAGCUUUGUAUGGCUACAGAUUUAACAAAAAAACACAAAAAAAAUUCCUGAUCCUUCACAAGCAUCAAACUACACAUCAUUUUAUGUAUUUUCUUGGUCAGCCAUGUCCGAUUGAAGAAUGGAGGGUCGGACGCAUAUCUCGUGUCCGUGUCGUGUCGUGUCGACACGGGCACUCUGGCCUUCACUGACGAGUCCAGUUAUGUUUAGCUGCUUGGAGUCUUGCCUUGAAUGCUUUGGAGGGACAGUUUCUGCAAUCUGAGUGUGAUGGGAAAUGCCUUGGUUGUGUUGGUAUUCAAACUUUUCUAAUCCUUGUAUAGAUGGUAACAAUGAAGGGAACUUCGUAAUCUUUAAUGAAUAUAAAAUAAAUUUGGGAUUUAUUUGUUCGUGAUUAGUAGGAUGUAGAUGUAAAUUUUCAUUUUUAUAUGACUUGAACUCUUUUUCAUCUUGUAUCAUAUUGUUUGUAUAAGGCUUGGUGUGGAUAUAUAUACCUUUGGCUGGA